GACGAACGCUGGCGGCGUGCUUAACACAUGCAAGUCGAGCGGUAAGGCCCUUUCGGGGGUACACGAGCGGCGAACGGGUGAGUAACACGUGGGAACCUUCCUAGGGGUACGGAACAACUCAGGGAAACUUGAGCUAAUACCGUAUACGUCCGUAAGGAGAAAGAUUCAUCGCCCCUAGACGGGCCCGCGUCGGAUUAGGUAGUUGGUGGGGUAACGGCCUACCAAGCCUACGAUCCGUAGCUGAUCUGAGAGGAUGANCAGCCACACUGGGACUGAGACACGGCCCAGACUCCUACGGGAGGCAGCAGUGGGGAAUCUUGGACAAUGGGCGCAAGCCUGAUCCAGCCAUGCCGCGUGAGUGAAGAAGGCCUUAGGGUUGUAAAGCUCUUUUACCAGGGACGAUAAUGACGGUACCUGGAGAAUAAGCCCCGGNAAACUUCGUGCCAGCAGCCGCCGUAAU
rnacentral:rRNA from 1 species